UAUACAAGCAACUCCUACAGCUCAACUCCAGAAAAAUAAAUGACCCAAUCAAAAAAUGGGCCAAAGAACUAAUCUUGUGAUUUUAAUUAAAAUAUACUUCUUUUUUAUUGUGAAACCAUUAAGAAAUUAUUGUAACUAAACUACUUUUAAUACUUUUGUCCCUUUUCCUUUAAACUAGAGUUAAGUGUUAACAUACCUCCAUAUUUCAUUAGUAGUAGAGUAUUCUGAAUACUAUGUAUACUUACUGUUACAUGCAUAUAUUUUUGUUUUAUCUCACCGUUUCUGGUGGACAGCUUUGCUGGGUAAAUUAUUCUUGGUUGGUAGUUUUGUUUUGUUUUUUCCUUUUAGCACUUUGAAUAUAUUAUGCCACUUUCUUGGCCUGUAGAGUUUUUUCUGCAAAACCCACUUCUGGCAUUAUAGGGGUUCCCUUUUGGAGAGAAAUUUGUUUCUUGUUGAUUUUUAAAUUCUUUUUAAUAUUAGGUAGUUUUGUUAUUAUGUGACCAAGAGUAAAUUGUUUUGGAUUGAAAUUAUGGGGUGAACUAUUAUCUUCAUGAACCUGGAUGUCCAGAUUUCUCCCCAGGUUUGGGAUGUUCUCAGCCAUUAUUUAUUUAACUAGGUUUUCUGCCUCUUUCUCCCUCUCUUUUCCUUAUGGGACUCCAGAGGUUAAAUCUGUAAGGGUUUUGUGACAGCUGUGUUGACUGUUGGUUUCUUCAGUGGCAAAAGUUGCUGGGUUCCUCUGCAGAGCAGGUUACUGGAAAGUGUGGUUACCCCCACUGUGUGGCUCUCAUUGGCAGCCCCUGUUCUUUUUCUUUGUUCCUAGCCCUUUCUAUGCAUCUCAGCUGUGCAGGUCUCUGGGCGGAGUGAAAUGGAGGUAGAUCCUUCAUGUGGUGCUCCAAAAGGUUAGGGAAGCUAGUCGUUCACCAACCCCUCUCUUCCCCAGGGAGAGGAAUGCUUUCUAGCUGAAAGUGUGCUCUUGGGGGCCUGGGGAAUGGGACGAUGCAGGCAAAAUGAAGUUUUGUUCUCCCUUCCUUUUCCUAUAGUUUUUCUCAAGUUUUUUUUGUUCCACUUUGUUGCUGAAGUUUUUUAAGUGGACUCCUGAGCUCUCUCAGAACUGUUUUUGUUUGUGAUUAGUUGUCUGAUUUUUUUUUAUUUUUGUAGGGGGCUAGUGGCUGGGUUCUGCACCAUCUUGGUGAGAGCACUACCCAAAAUGUUUGAUGUUUUAAAAGCAAUAUUUGGCAAAUACAGCUUGAUACUGUGAUAUUAUCAAUGAGCAUUUUUCCCCCUAGCAAACCGUGCAAGGGUGUAAAAUACACUAUCAUAGAAAAGUAAUUGAUUUCUAAGCAUGGUUACCAAAGCAUAUUUUAAAGUUGUUUAUGAUUAUUCUAUCUACUUAGCUUCUAGAGUCUAAUGUGAAGAUAUUACUUUUCCCUUAAAAUUCUCAAUGAUAGGUACAUAUGACUAGGUACUGGAGAGAUAUCUAGAAUCUUGAACUAAGAAUUAAGGAAAUAGUUUUAUAUUCAGCUGCAAUGAUUAAUUUGUAAAUAUAAUUUUUAUAUGUCUAAAACAUAUGUUAAUUAAGUCAUCUAAGAAAUUAAUGGGUAUGUGGAUUUUUAUUUUGAUGGUUAUUGCCCACAGAUUUGUACUUGACAGCAAUGCACACUGCCACCAAUAGUAUAUGGGAGGAAAACACAUCUUUUAGUUCAUUUAUUAGCUUGUUCUGUAUUUACAUUACUACUGUACUUUAUUAAGGCUCUAAAUGAUAUGCUGGUGAGUUGAAAAUGUUCUUGUGCAUACAAUUUUUCCUUUCUUCAAAGUGUCAACUCUCAUGUACUCAUGUAUUGGAUAAAUUAGGCUGUUUAUAUAUAUAAAAAAAUCCUUUUAAGCUUUUUUCUUUAUUUCCCUUAUUUAAUGUUGAAAAAUAUAUCCCUUAUUCUUCUUUGUUGGGCAUAGAUAUGGAGAAAGUUGAAAGGUAGAAGGAGACAGUGUUAAGUAGGGAGGAAGUAGGUUGGUGAUAAAGUUAUAGUUUUCAUUGAAUUAUUAUUUGUGGAUACUAUCUGUUAUUUGUAGAGCACUACUCAUAUGCCAGGCUCUGUUGUAAACAUUCACAUGAACCAUCUCAUUUAAUCCUUAUAGUCACCUUGAGGUAGAAAUUACUAUUUUGCCGUUUUAUAGAUGAGGAAACUAAGGCAUUGAGGGGUGAAUUUACCAAGGUAAUUUCUAGUGAAGGGCUUCUAGGUUAGGGCUCUUUUGUUCUUUGGUGCCUACCAACUGAGAGAACACAUGUUAAUACUGACUAUAAUAAUUAGAGUUCACGUAUAGUUUGCGUUUGUUAAAUGCAAGGCAUUGUCUUAACUGCUUUGUAUGUAUGGAUUCAUGUACCCCUCAUAACAACCUUGUGAGGCACUUGCUAGUAUGAUCCUCAUCUUUCACAUGAGCAAACUCAAGCUCAGAGCUUAAAUAACUUUGCCAGUGCCCCCAGCUAUGAAAGCCCAGAUUAGAACCCAGCCAGGCUAGUGUGAGAGUCCACACUGGGUCACAAAUACUGGAAAGAUCACUGGCCUGGGAGUCAAGAAAUACAGAUCUGGAUUUGUGUCCCAGUUGUAUCAUAGGUGAAUCCUUGGGGAAAUCCCUUUAUCUCUCUGGCACUCUGUACCCUCAAAUGUGAAAGCAGGGCAUUUGUUUCUGGAUAAUUCCUGAGGCUUUUCUUUCAGUAACAUUUUGGAAUUCCUCAGAUGAAAAGGACUAAACCAGGCUGCUGCUUUGGAUUCAUCAACUAUUAAGGACAGUCUUAGGCUUUAGCAGCUAUGUUAUUCCACAGCCUCUGAGAAUACACCUAGAAGAGGCACGGCUGCUGCAGUUGGACACAUUGUCUUCUUCCAGCACAUCAGGUGCCUUUGCAACUGUACAGAACAGAGCUCCAUACUCCAGUGCAUGUUCCCAUUUGAAAGCUAUUUGUAAGAAGAUAUCAUAUGACCCACUUCACAUAUGGGUGGAACCUCAUAAGGAAAAAAGCUCUUAAAUUAAAAACAGUUGAGAUAUAUAUAUAUAUAUAUAUAUAUAUAGUCAUCCCCUGCUAAGAAAAAAUGUUUAGCUACAAUGUGACAUGCAUGCAUUUUCUCAGAACAACUCACUUCCUCAUCCAGCCCUGUUAAAGAUCUGUUGCACAGAUUUGUAGCCAAGUUCUUAAGGUAGAUUUUUUUUUUCAACAUUUCACAAAAUAGGGAAACAUUCAGGCAUUUACUAGCAUUAAUCAUCUAAAUAUUCUAAGCCAUCUCUUCUUGUUUUGAAGUGAAUGCAGAUUCAACCAAACUUACUUUUAAAAAUAUAUGAGUUGAGGACUUUGUACUGUUACACCUCCUUUUUCUUUAGGAUUCUUGCUAAAAUCUAGAUGAGGAAGGAUGAAUAUAAAAACAAGAUCUUUUAUAUCUACUUCUCCACAUAUUUGGGGGCUGAAGUUAGCCUGGAUUUUAUUUCUUAGAAAUUUGAAUUACCUAGCUUCUUUAUGUACUUACUUUUUGAAAAAGUGUAUUUCUCCAAAGCAUACUAAAUAUAAGAUAAUGCAGUAUUCAAAACUGACUUUAGAAGGAGAAAAUUAAUGAAUUUAGAAGGAGAAAAUUAAAGUGAGUCUUUAGGAUCAGUUAUUGAACGUGAUAAGAAGUAAAACUUGCAUUCUUAAUGGUGCGGUGAUAUCUGUUAGAAAAUUCUCUACCCACAAAUUGUUAUCAGAGGCUGUUUUUCCUGUUGGCCUUUUUCUUUGAUCUGCCAAAUACCAUGCACAUUGGUUGGAGGCCUCAUUUGUUCUAUGAACAGAGGAAAGCACCUCGACUUACUGUGAAGUCCUGCAUAAUUCUCUCUGAGAACCUUUGUUCUAACCCUCACUGCUGAGUUUGCCCAAAUCUUUUUGGAACUAAAAAUGAGAUUCUAGCAAAGCAGUCUGAGCUUCUUUGGAGGAAAAGUGAUGGAAUAUUUUUGGAGCUUUUAAGGCACUUACAUUGACUAUAUUCUUUCUUCUGUUCCAAGCAACUUAGAGAUGCAACAUUAAAAAAACACACACACACACAAAACAGGCUAUAGUCAGAAGCAAACAUUAUGCCUUUCCUUGAAUACACAGAUGGUGCUUACUCUCUUUGAUGUGUUACCCAUUCUGAGUCUGUUAGGAAAACAUGACUCCUCUCCCAAGUGCAUGCCACUGUUCUUUAAUAUAACAUGCUUCAAGCAAGGAAGGGCUAUUACAGAACCACCAGAUGCUCUUCGCCUUCACGUGAACAGUGGUGUUUUCCUCCAUGUGAUGACAUUUAACCUCUCCUAUUUUGUUGCAUCUUGUCAAUUUCAGGCCAGCAGCAUUCACCCCUCCUGGAUCUUUCGCCUGCAAAUCACGCAUGAUCCUUUUGAUCAGAAUUCUUGGAUUCAGCUCUGAUUCACCUUAAUCUUUUAUGGGGGCUGGUAAAAUGUCACCCAUCUUUUGGGGCACAGCAGCCUUUUCCCUUCUACUACUCCUCCCCAGCCUCACAAUUGCUUCAAUGUCUAUAAUAUGAGCUGCUCACUCACCCCUCUGAUACGCCUCACCGGGUAUUUUACAGUCUUUGUGUGCUCUUUAAGAACUAUCAUUUUCCCCCUUAGCUGGCCUCUGUAAUAUACUCCUUCCUACAACUGAGUGAGUAUUCAUUUCUUCUUUCAUUGUGCUAUUGAAAAAUCUAUGUUGUUUUCCUGGAUGGAAUGUGAUUUUUCUCAUAGUAAUAAUCUCUGCUAUUAACCACAUUGUUUUUGUUUUCAUGGAUAAAUAGACUUUCUGCCCCAUAAACCUUUAAUGAAGUACGUGACCUACAUUUCUUCUUUUUUCCUCUUAUUUUAUCUUUUUUUCUACAUGCUUGCAGCAUCCACAGACUUGGUUUAUAGCUAUAGGUCUGUUGAUGUUUUCUGCCUCUCUUACUUCCCCUUCUCCACUCCCUGCUAUUGGUCAAAUCCUGGAUUCUCCUGUGCUCUAAAAACCUAACCACACUCACCAUCAGCAUGAUCAGCAUCAUUGGUUAGAUUGAUGUUUCUCAGGCCCUGCUGUCUAUAACUUAGAAUCUGGGUGGCUCUGGAGGCUUGAGACUCUGGUGCUCUGUGGUCAGACCUCAUACCCUCAGUGUGGUCAGAUGCGCCCUCCAACCCCAUGAAUAACGUUUGGGUUCUCACUAGUAGUGUUUAGCCUCCACCUCUCCACAGCUUAUCUUGAUUGCUCUAGCCUCUGAACUUCUGACAUUCUUGCGAUGUGUAUUAUAGGUCCACAAUUGUUAUCUACAUUUGUAAAAAUCUCUAGGCAGUUAACUUUUUUUAAACUCAUUUUGCACCAAAAUCUGACCUGAAUUGCUGACUCUGUACAUAGAGCUAUAGAUAAUCACCACUUUCUUCACUUAAUGUGAAUGCUCAUAUUUCCAUUGCAAAAAUAUUUAUAUGCUUGAUUAUGGAGUUCUAUAGCAAGCUCUUCAGGAGAUGUUUUAUAAAUACAUGGAAUAAGUAUAUAUCACCUUUCUAAAAA